rnacentral:sRNA from 1 species
GCCGGGCAUGGUGGUGCAUGCCUGUAAUCCCAGCUACUUUGGAGGCUGAGGCAGGAGAAUCACUUGAGCCCAGGAGGUGGAGGUUGCAGUGAGCAGAAAUCUGCCACUGUACUGCAGCCUGGGCGACAGAGGGAGACUCUGUCAA